rnacentral:lncRNA from 1 species
AUUAGGAUAAUACCUUGGAAGUUCUUAUUUGCAUGUAUAAUAGAGAAAACAUAGAUCCAAGGUAUUUAGGGUUGCAUGUACACUUAGGAAGUGUUAGAAUGCUCAAAACCCAACAGUGGUAUCAGAGCCACGGGUUGUUUUCUGUUAUAUUGAUGCAAAUAUUUUAUUUUCAAAGUUGAAAAAAAAAAAAAAAAAAAACAUGAAGUUUGUCAAAUUUUAAGAUAAUUACUUGUUCUUGUGAAAAACUAAUUAUUUGUAAAAUUUGAAUAAUUUGCUUUAUGAGUUGAAUUAGGUCAAAUUUAAUAAAAGAUAAAAUAAUAUGAUUAUUUUAUUAGUUUUAAAAGUUUGAUCUAAAGAGUUUUAUUUUUUGAAACCUCCAUAAGUUAUGGAUAUGAAAAGGUUUUAAAAAAAAAAUUGAUUCAAAGUUUUUUUGGAGUUACAAAAUUUGGUGUUAAUGUUUUAAAGGAUUCCAUAACUUAAGAAUAAGUUAUGGAUCACCAAAAGUUUUUUGUGUUACCUUGUUUUAUGAGUGAAUUUAGAUUAAUGAAUAAAAUUAUGUGAUAGUUGGUUUUAAUCCAAAUUAAUCUAAGAAUUGAUUCUAAAAUGUGUUUUUGUAACUUGUCCUCAAGUUAUAUGAAAAGUCACAUUUAAGAAUCAUAAAACUCAUAAAAAUUGGCAAAGGUUACAAAAAUGAAGAGUCUAGUUCUAAUUAAAUGGUUUUAUGACUCCAUAACUUGUCCUCAAGUUAUGGAGGACCAAGAGUCUCUUCAUUUAAUAAAAUAAAAUAAAAAAAAAAAAAGUGUAACCUUAAUUAAUUCCAUAAGUUAUAAAAUAAAGAAAAGUUAAUUCUUUUAUUAGUUUAAAGUCUUCCAUAACUUGUCCUCAAGUUAUGGAACUUGAAGAGUUUUUGGAUUAAAACUACUUUAAACACAUAAGUUAUGGAAUUAAUUAGUUUUGAAUAGUUUCAAAACUUGCCCUCAAGUUUUGGAAUUUGUAAAGUUUUCACUUAUGAAUACUUUAAUUCCAAGUUAGCCCUUAGAAUUUUAAAAGUUAAAAUUCAACCCUUAUACUUUAUAAUAUUAUAAGUUAAUAAUAUAUAUAUGUAUAAGAGUAAAGUCAGUCUUACCGCUAGUACGCCUCAUUCACGAAGCCGGUCUAUAAGGUGGGUAUAAGGUUGUUGCCUAUAAAAUGGCAACUUAAUGGGUGUCCACUCUCACCCACCGCUUGCUUGACUGGUGGAGGGUCGUUAGCCGAACGGGUUUGACAGGACUAGAAUUCUCCCUUCAUUAAAAGUAUUAAUGAUAAUACUAAGUAACUAAACUCUUAAUAAUACCCAAUCUUAGUUACUUAGGAAAAAUGUGAAUAAGGUGCUAAUCCAUGAAAUUACACUUUACACUUUGUCUAAGUCGUUAGUGGAGCGUGUGUGGUUAACCGGCACACUAACUUGGACUUAACAAGGUAGGUAAAGGGUGACUUAAUAUUUAUCAUAGUAUCGAUGGAGCGUGUGUGGUUAACCGGCACAUCGAUUGAGGGGUAAUUUAUUAAGGGUACCAAGUGAUUUGCAUGGUUACUUCACACCUUGUUUUGUGAUCCUCGGCAUCCCAGUCACAAAACCUGAAGGGCACACUCGAGAUUGAAACAUGCCUUUGAAAAGUUCAAUGAAUCUCAAAGAUCUAGGAGUUUCAAAACCAAUUAAAACCUAAUAAUACAUUUCGUUUAUCUUGGUGGAAAUUGGUGAAUCGUCAUUCACCUACCUUCAAAUAUUUUAUAGCUUGGAUUACGGCAUACCUCUUCUAAGUUAUAAAAUAGUUUGUUGGGUCCUAGCCUUAAUAUUUCAUAUUGGGUGUCAUAUUAAGGACUUUAAAUCAACUAUCUUGAAUAUCUCCCAAAAGAUGUCUGGUUUAGACACCUAUGAUCUUCCCAAAUCUCUUGAAACAAGGUUUCCUAAUGAAGAUGAUGUCCCAUGGAUAUCAUACUUCUUCACCUCUUCAAAUUAUUCUCCCUAACCCACAAGUUCUUGAAAAGUUUAAGGUCACUCAGGCCCUUUUGGCAAGGCAAGGUCUAGGUGUGGUCACAUCUUGGAGAUGUAGUCACAUAUUGACAAGCCGGGAGAGUUGGGUGUCAAAGUCUUGAGAAAGUUGGUGGUUCAACUACUUUCUAAGUCACAUAGUGAGUUCUUUUGGAACACCUAUGAAAAAGACUAUGACAAGACCCUUAAUGAUCUUAUCUAUUUGUUAAGAUCAACUUCCUAAAACUUUAUGGACAUUGACAAUGAUGACAUUGGAUAUCCAGUAAAGCAUUCUCUUCCCAAUGGAAAGGGAUCGGCUAUAGUCAACUCGGUUGACCAAAUGGUAAAGAGAAAAGCUAAGUCUGUGAUAGUCCUGUGUACCAUUAUCAAAGGGUCCAUAUGUUUGUAUUGCCAAAGAAAGGGCAUUGGUUGCGAAGCUGCCAAAUUUACCUAAGGAUGUUAAAGUCAAUAAGUUUGACUCUACUUCAGGUAAAAUCCACUAUCUAACUCUGUUAAGUUUCUAUUCUGAGAUUCUUGAUACAUGAUGUGACCGGGUCGCAUGGUGAUGGUUUAAGAAUCAAAGGAAAGUGAAGAAACUUAAAGGAAGAAUAUGCUGAAUCUGAUCGCAUAGAUGGAUUUCUAUCGCAUAGUUUGAAAAAUCGGAUUCUUGAGCUACUUCUUAGGAGUUAUGAGAUAUUGCUUAGGAAUAGAUAACAACAAGUUUUCAUAUGGAUUGUAAGGAUAGUUUUUCCGCAAAGUUUUAAAAUAAAAGGAAAUUUUUGAUUUUAUUUAUUUUAAAAUAUCCUUACAAUGGCAUCUGUGGAAAUUUUUGUUGCUUAUAAGAUUCCAUUAGUAGCAAGAGUGGAAGUAUGAAAUUGAUUCUUUCAUUUGUGGUAAUGUCUAAAUUUACCAAAUAAGGAAAGAUUCUCAUCACCCAAGUUUCAAUUGGACCGGAACUUGGAAUCAUGCAAGUUGUAUAGCAUGAUGAAUGAGAACUUUCAAGUUUUGGAAAAUUAAGACUAAUUACUUGUUCACAUGGAUGUGUGAGUCAAGUAAAGGACUUAGGGAUCGAGUACACAUUCUUGUGCACUGAUUAAGUCCACCACUAAAGAUCGAUAAGAAGAAUCAAAUAAGGCAGAAGGAUAAAAGUUUCUCAAAUCUGAAAAGAUGGGAGAGUACUUUAGUAUCAGUUUUGUGAUCAUCUUAAUGAUUAAGAAACCAUAUCAAAAUUAGUUCUCUAAGGAAAUCUUAGUGCAUUCUUAUGACUAAGAAGAGGAACUUGAAUUGUUGAAAUGGUUAAAUCAAGAAGAUGAGUCAUACUUCGUUCCAAUACAAGUCUUAGAGUCAUACUCCAAGAUUGUCAUUUGAGUGACAUGUCUUAAAGAAGGUUUAAAACACUUGUCAAAUGUAAGAGUAAAAGUUUUCUACUCUUGUACAUUUGAAAUUGGUAAGUUGUGAUGUUUUGGAUAAAACAAAGACCAACUUAGGCCAAUUGGGUAAAGUGUUUUUCUUGAUUAGAAUCCGCACUAUCUCUUGGAUGUUUGACAAGGGAGUCUUAUAUGUCAAGAGGACAGUGGGAGUCUUAAAGGUCUUGAAAGUCUCAAGAACUAAUCAAGAAUAAAACCUGAAGUUCUUCACUAGCACACGACUUGAGGUUUAUAACCUAUCGUGUUGACAUAUCUGUGCCCAUUCCAGUUAAAGUUGGCUUUGCAUAUGAGUUCUUAGAGUUCUCAGUUUGUUGCAUAACAACUUGGAAGCAAUGGCAGGCCCUUGAGCUGCCAGGUGGCAAGAAGUUAAGAUUGAGUUCAAUCCAUAUGGUUUUGGAUUUGUCAUUAUCUUUGUCUUGUGAUUAUGGUUUGACAAAUUCAUAUGGGUAGGAACUCAUACACCAUAUAAAUCUAAGUGUCAUAAGGUUUCUCUCCGAUUCAUGAAAAUGAUGGUGAGGAAACACUUUCACUAAGUAGAUUUUAUCUAGAUAGCAAUUGUGAUAUUUGCAUUCUCAAAGUCGUUAGUGGAGCGCGUGUGGUUAACCGGCACACUAACCUGGACUUGUGAGAAGUGGCAAAAAGGUCUAACCAUUAUGAUUACGGCAUACCUCUUCAUAAUUGUUUAGACACACAAGUGUGCUAUCUAAGGGAAGGUGUAUGAUUUUGAUAAAGUUUUAUCAAAACAAUCUAGCAUCAGAAAUCUGAACUUUGGUAAGAAAGUCAAUGAAGUAUUGAUUUCUAGAAGUCCAGCUGAUUUCUGAGUACAUGUCAAAGCUAGUGGGAGCAUAAGUGUUAUGCUAAUAAUCAUCAUGUUAGUGGGAGCAUGAUAAUUAUGAUAAGUAUUGCAAGUUAGCAAUGUUAAUUAUAGAAAACAAAAGUUUCAAUUGGGAAAAAGUUGUUUUGCUAUAAUUAAGGGAGAGGAAAUUAUACUUCAUCUCAAAUCUAUAAGCUUAGAUCGUGAGGUUUUAAUCAUUUAGUCAAGGAUAUAUAUGAAUUUCAUGUUGGAAUGGCUCAACAUAAGGAAAUUCUGUAUAUGGGUCCAUUAUUUGCGUUCUAAAAUUCGAUUAUGAUUACGGCAUCCCUUUUCAUAAUCUGAAUUAUGAGAACUUGGCAAAUUGAAAUGGAAAUAUUAUAGCAAAAGACUGGUUUAGUCUUUAUGUAAGACAUCAUGAAUCGUGUCCCAUAUGCUUCGGAUAUAGGAUCGAUUACAUGUGCUAUAUUCAUCCGUUCUAAAAUUUUCCAAAUGCCUGGGGCAUUAAGAAGGGAAAAGGUUUAGAACUGGAUAUGACUAAAAGGAUUAAACAAUUGUCGAGGACAAUCUAAGGUUUACCAAAGAUUGGUUGCUCAAGGACAGUUGGAAGUAUAGUGAUAAUUCUGGAAGGACCAUAUUGACAUAAUCUGUAAGGAGGCAACUCUUGUUCAGAAGUGAUAGUCAAAAUGGAAUCUGGAAAUGUUUCAAAGUUAGAAUUUUCAAUCUGUUUAAGAUUAGGAAACUUAAUGCAAGAAGGAUGUUUCCAAGGAGCUGAUCUCCUUUGGAAUACUCUGUAAUGAUUGUUGUCAAGUCUUUCUGACUUUGUGCAUAAUCAUUACAAGAGGAUCAAUGCAUAUAAGUUUAGAAUCUAACAGAUUUCAGUAAAUGGCAUGAAUUUGGAAUUCUUGCAUUUGCAGUAAGGAUUUGGGAGUGUGAAAAGAGAAUCAUUGAAGUUAUGUUCAAUUGAUCUAGUUCACAAAGUAAAGAUCAUAGACAAACAUAGUAUGCAUACUUGGUGUGUGGCAUGACUAGUGUUUAAGAAAACAUAGUGUACAUGCUUGGAGCAUGGGACAACUAUUGUUUUAAAUUCAAGAAUAAAGUUGAUAGCUGAAACAGUAUACAAUGAAUAAUGUGUAAUCAUAUGGUGAUAAAUAAAAGGUGUUUUAUUUAUGUUCAAAGUUUUGAUACCAUAUUGGAUUCAAUUAUUAUUGUGUUUCACUUUGCAUGUUUUGACUUCCCGAAUAAACUAGGUUAUUCUUCCGGAAUGACUAAGUUAUUCAAACCAUCCACAGUCGGUCAUAUGUUGGAAGUAGAUAUGAAUUAAGACUGUCAUGGGUUGGCUUGUAGAGGUCUAAGGUGUUGGACAAAGGGCUACAACACUCAUGAGUGCUCAUAAGUUCUGAGUAUUGGAUUCAACCCGCGCUCAUUGGAAUCACUUCAUGGAUUUUAUCACGAGUGAUCAUGAGACGAUAAUAUCUUAUAUUCUUCAAACCUAGAGAUAUGAGUUGUUACUAUGAGUUGAUAGUACAUUGAUUGCACGAAAACGCAUUUGGUAACUCGGUGCUAUAAAACGUGCCUUUGUGUAUGAUUCAACAAGUAGUAGAACAAGCCAUAUGAGUCGAAGUUUAUCCGUUCCUUUUACCUUCGGGAUAAAAGCGAUAUCUGUGGGCCCCUCGAUGAUUUGAUGAUGACAAAUGGAAGUGCUCGGCCGGGCCAGGACUGAUUUGAUUUGUUCAAUUAGUCAGUCGUCAUAAAUCGGAAAUCGGGAAACAACAAAUGGACAGAGAGAAUGAUUAUAAUCCAUGUCUCAGUCCAUAUGAUAUCUAGAAUGGAGGAAUAUAUGAUCCCUUAUCUAAUGGACAAGUCAUUGACAAAGGUCAGAGUUCAUCGACAAGGUCAGAGUUCGACAGAAGCUUUUGAGAGCUACGAUUGCCAGUUGGUUCCUGAAGUCAUACGCAAUAAUAGUUUUAGACUUAUCCAAGUGGGAGACUGUUGGAUUAAUGUCUAAGUCCAUAACUAUAAUUGGUAAGACUUGACCCGACCCGGCAUGGUCCAUUUGGGUUGCAUGGCAUCAUGCACUUGGAUAGACUAGAUGAGAGAAAUAAGACACUUAUGGUUAUUAAUAUAUUAUAAGUUCUAGUAUAUUAAUAAUAAGAAUAAUGAGAUUAUUUAAUUAGUAUUGAUCAAGAAUUAAUCUAGGAUUAAUUAAGUGAUCAAAAGAAGACUAAUUAAAUAUAUGGGUUGAUUGUGUAAAUCAUCCAUACUUGUAUAGUGGGCUAAUGCUCCAUGGAUAAUCAAGUUGGGCUAAAACCCAUAGGAUGGUCCAUGGAUGCUCCAUGGUGUAUUUGUACCCAUGGAUCCAAGGAAAUGGAAAGCCAUGACAAUUAAGAGUUUACCCUAAUUGUAACACUAUAUAAGCAUCAUAUUAUUCACCAAAAUUGGCACUAGUGAGUGUACUAGAAGGGCUAGCCGAUUUCAUGAAGUGUGGGUUUUUCUCUCAAGUCAUUCCAUGUGUAUUUGGUGUUGUGUGAACCAUUUGAGGUGUCACACUUGGGGCACUAGGCACUCAAGCUUCAUGAAGACUUUCUACAUCAAAGAGGUAUGUAUUCUAUCUUGUUAUAUUCAUUGUUUUGUAUGCUAGAUUAGGAUAAUACCUUGGAAGUUCUUAUUUGCAUGUAUAAUAGAGAAAACAUAGAUCCAAGGUAUUUAGGGUUGCAUGUACACUUAGGAGUGUUAGAAUGCUCAAAACCCAACACCUACAUCCUCCAAGAUCAGCAUCCGGAAAUGCUUGCACAAAGAAACCGACUUUGAGGAGUACCAUAUUCCAAGUGAAGAUGUUCAUUUAAGAUACUUGAAUAUUGAAG